UGCGUAGGCGGAUUUAUAAGUCAGUGGUGAAAUCCUACAGCUUAACUGUAGAACUGCCAUUGAUACUGUAGAUCUUGAGUACGGUUGAGGUGGGCGGAAUGUGUCAUGUAGCGGUGAAAUGCUUAGAUGUGACACAGAACACCAAUUGCGAAGGCAGCUCGCUAAACCGUAACUGACGCUGAGGCACGAAAGCGUGGGUAGCGAACAGGAUUAGAUACCCUGGUAGUCC
rnacentral:rRNA from 1 species